UUUUAAUUGAGGAACAAAUUGGAAUUGAAAUAUUGAACAAUAAGUCAAACUUGGAAAACGGUUUUGGAUCCAUAAAGAGGAGCAAAAUAGUCUCAUUCAUUUCAUUUCAAAAAUCUCAUUCAUGGCGCAUUACAAAUGUCAUCCAUGUAUAAGUUGCACACAAAAAAAACCACACAGUAACCACUUAGCAGCAACAGCUACCACGUAACAAAACAAGGCGUUUCACUGAGAUUGAAGAUGCUGAUAACUCCUAAUUUUCCUUCUACUACUACAUACAUAAAACCCUAUACAAGUAAUGGAUGCCAAUUCAAUACCCAAGUUGAAAGUUCGGAACUUUUUGCUCCCUCUCAAUCCAUUGAUCACUUCCCAUAUUCUCUCGCUCUUCGAUUUCUCAAUUUUCAUCUCUAUGUGAUUGCUUGAAAAAACAAACUCCCUUAACCUACUCACAAAAAUAACCCUUCAAACCGGCGAACCACAACUAAACCGGUAACUAACCUUUUAACCUCCAACAGUAUGGAUAACCGAUUUUCCAACUGAAACACUCAACCGAUUUUCCAACUGAAACACUCAACUGAAUUCUAACUUCCUCCAACUGGCUCUAACCAAAUUUCCAACCGAUAUAACAGAACUUCAAUAAAAUCCAACAACCUGCAAACAAAAUGAACUAUCAUAACUUUCAUAACUGAAAACCAAAACUUCUAACAAAAUAUAUAACAGAAUCCUGCACCAAUGGUAAUGGAACUUCACUUCAAAAAAUAGAAAUCCAAAAACAAUGAGAACCCUCCAACAGAGUACAUAACUGGAUCCCACCUGCAUAAUAUUCAAGAAGAAAAACUCCUCAAAACUUCCACAACUCUUCACCCCCUUCACCCUCUUCAACCCUCAACCGCUGCAAGCAGCACUACCCAAAAAAAACUGAACAGAAAUUCCUCACAAUUUCAACCUCAACCUCCCUCAAAAUUCUGGCAACAAACCUUCCAUGGAAGAACCUCCUCCAACUUUCAUCUUCUAACUUGCAACCUCAACCAAAAUCCCCUAAUCGAACCACCUCGCAACCUUUCACAACGAACUUCACGACAAUCUUCAAACACAACACGAACAGAAAUGAGAAGAAGAAAAAACCUACUUCCAUAUAGAACCUUCUUCACUCUCCAACAACCUUUCAACAAAAACCUUCAUCACCUCCAGGAAUCGCAUCUUCCUCACCCUCUACUUCAUAGACGGAACCGCAAUACAGAAGCACCUCGAAAUCGCUACCGUCUAAAGAGGAAAGAGAAGAGUUAGGGGUAGCAAUGUGCAGGAGAAGAAGAACGUAACGAGCGGAGAAGAAAAUUGAAGAACGAAGUUACCCGGAUCGGAUAGUGAGGUCAGUGAGCUCUUUUCUUUUAUUUCCCCUUCCGAUUACGUUCAUUCCACGAAAAAACAUUGACGUCGACCUUGACCUCGACACCAUUCUCAACUCGAUAUUAAAUCUACGACCCGAAUCGAAGCGUCGGAAGCAUUUUGUUCCUGGUUAUUUGUGAAACGGAGAAAUCAAUUCAUGAGAUUCUUCGAGCGAUUACACCCAUGUUCGUGAGUAGGGUGGCGAUUCACAGGGUUCUUGGCGGAGUGUGUAAGUGGGAAUGUGUGGGUUCCUUCAAGCUGACCUAUUCAUGUUGGAACUCGAAUCUUGGAGCCGGAUGGAAGGAUUUGGGCCUUUCAUCCAAAACGUUUCCCAUAGCUCAAGCCCGAAGCAGAUUCUGUUCAUACUCCCCUUCAAUCCACCAUACACCCCAAGCUGGCCCAUGUUAAUGCUCAUUAAUAAGCCCUUAAUCCCCA
rnacentral:lncRNA from 1 species